GACAUUCCCCCUUCCCAUCCCUCCCUCUCUAUCGUUCUCGUUCUUCUUCUUCUUCUCCCAGAAAAAAUAUCGGCUCGGAGUUGAGGAAGAAAUAACCGGAGGCGAUGGUUGAGACGAGGCGGAGCUCGGCGUCCUCGAAGCGCCCCAUUUCUUUGCCCUCCCCCUCCCCCUCGUCUCCCUCCGCCAAACGCUCCAAGGUGGAGGCGACCUUGAAGGCGCACCAGUUGGAGCCGAGGGAGGAGGCGGCGCCGGGCGCUGAGGACCUCCAGGUCGCGCCUGAUCCGCCGGCUGCCGCUGAUCCGCCGAGGGAGGCCGGCCAUGGCUCGCCGGAACAGGAGAACAGGCCCGAGGAUGGGGCAGGGCAGAGUUCCGUGCUUCAAUUGCCGACCCAAGAGCAAACAGCAAAAGCUGAUGGAGAACAAUUGGGGGCGGUGCCGUUGGAACUCUCGAAGAAACGGGACUUGAAGGUGCAGCCGAAGGCGUGGGCGAAACUUCUUUCGCAGUGUUCGCAGAACCCUCAUCUUGUUAUCUGUGGUUCUCAAUUCACUGUUGGUCAAGGACCAAGCUGCAACUUAUCAUUGAAGGAUCCAUCUGUUGGCAGGACUCUUUGUAAACUGAAACAUCUUGAGUGUAGAGGUGCACCAGGGGCCUUGCUUGAAAUAAUAGGAAGAAAAGGCAUUGUGCAAGUUAAUGGAAAAAUCAUUGAGCAAAUCUCGCAAGUAGUUCUCAUGGGAGGGGAUGAGGUUGUUUUCGGUUCAUCCAGGAGGCAUGCUUAUAUUUUUCAACCACUUGCUAGUGACAAAUUAACUACACCUGCAUCAUGUUCUGCACUUGGCAUUUUGGAUGCACAGGAUGUUCCUACCAAAGAGAUUCAAUUUGAGAGCAGAUCUGGAGACCCUUCAGCUGUUGCUGGAGCGUCAAUAUUGGCUUCUCUAUCUAAUCAUAAGAAAGAUCUGUCAGUCCUUCCACCAGCAUCCAGUGGUGAUAAUGCUCAUGAAGGAGUACAAAGGCCUGCCCUGCCAUCUGCUUGUGAUGUAUCAGAGGGUUGCAAUUCAGACCUUGAUAAGAACUGCGAUGCUGGGACGGGUAAUACUGAGCAUAAUGGGAGUACUGAGGUUCCUUCUGGUGAUAAGGCUGCUGUUGUUUUAUCUACCGAUCUUGGUGCUAAUGAAGCAACUCAGCAUGGUACCAUUGGUUCAGAUGCUCAACUUGAUGGAGAUAUUGGAAAGACUUCUGGUGCAAACUAUGAGAUAAGACCACUUGUGAAGAUGAUUGCAGGAUCAUCGACUGCUGAACUGGAUUUGACUGGAAACAUAUUUAAAGUGUUUGAGGAUCAGAGGGAGCUCCUUAGGGAUCUUGAUACCCCAGCAUCCUUGCCUACUACUAGAUGCCAAGCCUUUAAGGAUGGUUUGAAACAGGGGAUUGUUGAUGCUAGUGAUAUCCAAGUCUCCUUUGAAAGUUUUCCCUACUAUCUUAGUGACAAUACAAAAAAUUUACUUCUAUCAUGUGCAUACAUUCACCUGGAAUGCAAGGAGUUUAUAAAAUAUGCUACCGAGAUUUCAUCUGUAAAUCCGCGAAUUCUAUUAACUGGUCCAACAGGAUCUGAAAUCUAUCAAGAGACUUUGGUAAAGGCCCUUGCAAGACACUUUGGUGCUAGAUUACUCAUAAUAGAUUCUCUUCAGCUACCUGGUGGUCCAUCUUCGAAGGACUCGGAAUCCCUAAAAGAAGGUGGCAGGGUCGAGAAAGCAAGCUUCUUUUCUAAGCGUGGUGCACUGCUUGAUCUUAGAAGACCAACUUCGAGUGUAGAGGCUGACAUGAUGGGGACAUCUAUGUUAAAUUCCCGUUCUUUGCCAAAGCAGGAGGCAUCAACAACAUCAUCAAAGAAAUACACAUUUAAAGAAGGCGAUAGGGUAAGAUAUGUUGGUUCAGGACCUUCAUCAGGCUUUCCUCUUCAGGCUCCUGAGAGUGGUCCAAAUUAUGAUUAUCGAGGUAAAGUUGUUCUUGCUUUUGAGGAAAACGGAGCCUCCAAAAUUGGAGUUAGAUUUGAUAAGCAAAUUCUUGAGGGUAACGAUCUUGGGGGGCUAUGCGAGGAAGAUCAUGGCUUCUUUUGCACUGCUGAUUUACUCCGCCCAGAAUCUUCUGGAGGUGAAGACAUUGAAAGACUUGCCAUCAAUGAGUUACUAGAGGUUGUAUCUGAAGAAAGUAAAAAUGGUCCUUUAAUCAUUCUAAUAAAAGACAUAGAGAAAUCUAUGGCUGGAGGUACAGAUACAUAUUUAACUUUGAAGAGCAAGCUUGAAUUGAUGCCAGCAGGUGUUCUAAUUAUAGGUUCCCAUACGCAGAUAGACAACCGCAAAGAGAAGUCACAUCCUGGAGGUCUUCUCUUCACAAAAUUUGGAAGCAACCAGACAGCACUGCUUGACUUUGCUUUCCCGGAUAACCUUGGUCGGCUCCAUGAGAGAAGCAAAGAAAUUCCGAAGACCAUGAAGCAACUCACUAGAUUAUUUCCUAAUAAACUUUCUAUCCAACUUCCACAGGACGAAGCCCAACUUUUAGAUUGGAAAGAACAAUUGGAUCGUGAUGUUGAAACUCUGAAGGCCAAAUCCAAUAUUCUUAGCAUCCGCUCUUUUCUAAGUCGCAAUGGAUUAGACUGUAAUGAUCUUGAAACGAUAUCCAUAAAGGAUCAAACACUUACAAAUGAAAAUGUGGAUAAAAUAGUUGGCUUUGCACUUAGUCACCACCUUAAGAACAAUAAAAUUGAAGCAUCUGCAAAGGAUGCUAAGCUUGUACUUUCCAAUGACAGCAUUAAGCACGGGCUGGGUAUGCUACAAAGCAUCCAAAGUGAUACUAAGAGUCCAAAGAAAUCACUCAAGGAUGUGGUUACUGAGAAUGAAUUUGAGAAAAGACUUCUAGCUGAUGUUAUUCCACCCGAUGACAUUGGAGUUACUUUUGUUGACAUUGGAGCUUUAGAGAAUGUGAAGGACACAUUGAAAGAGUUGGUGAUGCUUCCUCUACAAAGACCAGAAUUGUUCUGCAAAGGACAAUUGACAAAGCCCUGCAAAGGAAUACUGCUCUUUGGUCCUCCUGGUACGGGAAAGACCAUGCUUGCUAAAGCUGUUGCAACGGAAGCAGGUGCAAAUUUUAUCAAUAUAUCAAUGUCAAGCAUCACCUCAAAGUGGUUUGGGGAAGGAGAGAAGUAUGUCAAAGCAGUUUUCUCAUUAGCAAGCAAAAUUGCUCCUAGCGUCAUUUUUGUUGACGAGGUUGACAGUAUGCUGGGCAGGCGAGAAAAUCCUGGAGAACAUGAAGCCAUGCGCAAGAUGAAAAAUGAAUUCAUGGUGAACUGGGAUGGAUUGCGCACAAAAGAUAAAGAACGUGUAUUGGUGCUUGCUGCCACCAAUAGGCCUUUUGACCUUGAUGAUGCUGUCAUAAGGAGGUUUCCUCGGAGAUUAAUGGUAAACUUACCAGAUGCAUCAAAUAGAGAAAAAAUUCUCAGAGUAAUAUUAGCCAAAGAGGAGCUGACACCAGAUGUUGCUUUGGAAGCACUUGCCAAUAUGACGGAUGGAUAUUCAGGAAGCGACUUGAAGAAUCUCUGUGUAACUGCUGCACAUUGCCCCAUUAGAGAAGUUCUGGAAAAGGAAAAGAAGAUACAGAAGGGAGUUCCUGCAUUUAGGAGAGAAGUUCAGCAUUAGCAGAAGGUAGACCUUUACCUGCAUUGCAUGGAAGUGAUGACAUCCGUCCUUUAAGCAUGGAAGACUUGAAAUAUGCACAUGAGCAGGUAUGUGCUAGUGUAUCAUCUGAAUCCACAAACAUGAGUGAGCUUCUACAAUGGAAUGAGCUCUAUGGCGAAGGUGGGUCGAGGAAGAAGAAAGCACUGAGCUAUUUCAUGUAAGAGAUGCCCAUUUUGUGUACAGCCGUUCUCUUACAUCCAUCCGCGAAUGCUUGCAAAUUUGGCAGCCAAUAUAACUGGUUUUCCUUCCCAGGCUUCCAUGUAUUUAAGGUGUUUCAAGUCAUUUAUCAAUCUCUAAUUUAUAGUAAGUUAUAUUUUAUCAUUUCCAUCAAGCUGGUAUAACAAUAGCCUUUUUUGUCUGUAAAAUAUGGCACUUCAGCAUGGCUGAAGGCCUAUGUAAAUAGCAUAGAAAUUGCUGAGAGGAAUAAACACUGCAACUAGAGUUUUUCCUUCCUUUAUUUAAUCUCUCCUUUUGUUCAAGUGGCAAGUGUAUUCAUUACUGGAUGUUACCAAUAGCUGUUUUUGUGGCAUCUUUUGCCAUGUUUCA